UACGGGGGGGGGCAAGCGUUGUUCGGAAUUACUGGGCGUAAAGAGCGUGUAGGCGGCCAGAUAAGUCCGCUGUGAAAUCUCGAGGCUCAACUUCGAGCUGUCGGUGGAAACUAUCUGGCUAGAGUCCGGAAGAGGAGAAUGGAAUUCCUGGUGUAGCGGUGAAAUGCGCAGAUAUCAGGAAGAACACCCGUGGCGAAGGCGGUUCUCUGGGACGGUACUGACGCUGAGACGCGAAAGCGUGGGGAGCGAACAGG
rnacentral:rRNA from 1 species